GGAUGUUAGCGGCGGACGGGUGACUAACACGUGGGUAACCUGCCUGUAAGACUGGGAUAACUCCGGGAAACCGGAGCUAAUACCGGAUAGUUCCUUGAACCGCAUGGUUCAAGGAUGAAAGACGGUUUCGGCUGUCACUUACAGAUGGACCCGCGGCGCAUUAGCUAGUUGGUGAGGUAACGGCUCACCAAGGCGACGAUGCGUAGCCGACCUGAGAGGGUGAUCGGCCACACUGGGACUGAGACACGGCCCAGACUCCUACGGGAGGCAGCAGUAGGGAAUCUUCCGCAAUGGACGAAAGUCUGACGGAGCAACGCCGCGUGAGUGAUGAAGGUUUUCGGAUCGUAAAGCUCUGUUGUUAGGGAAGAACAAGUGCAAGAGUAACUGCUUGCACCUUGACGGUACCUAACCAGAAAGCCACGGCUAACUACGUGCCAGCAGCCGCGGUAAUACGUAGGUGGCAAGCGUUGUCCGGAAUUAUUGGGCGUAAAGGGCUCGCAGGCGGUUUCUUAAGUCUGAUGUGAAAGCCCCCGGCUCAACCGGGGAGGGUCAUUGGAAACUGGGAAACUUGAGUGCAGAAGAGGAGAGUGGAAUUCCACGUGUAGCGGUGAAAUGCGUAGAGAUGUGGAGGAACACCAGUGGCGAAGGCGACUCUCUGGUCUGUAACUGACGCUGAGGAGCGAAUGCGUGGGGAGCGAACAGGAUUAGAUACCCUGGUAGUCCACGCCGUAAA
rnacentral:rRNA from 1 species